rnacentral:rRNA from 1 species
GACGAACGCUGGCGGCGUGCCUAACACAUGCAAGUCGAACGGAGUUACCCUUCGGGGGUAGCUUAGUGGCGAACGGGUGAGUAACGCGUGAAGAACCUGCCUUUCAGUGGGGGACAACAGUUGGAAACGACUGCUAAUACCGCAUAAUGUCAUUUGGGGGCAUCCCCGAAUGACCAAAGAUUUAUUGCUGAAAGAUGGUCUCGCGUCUGAUUAGCUAGUUGGUGAGGUAACGGCUCACCAAGGCGACGAUCAGUAGCCGGUCUGAGAGGAUGAACGGCCACAUUGGGACUGAGAUACGGCCCAGACUCCUACGGGAGGCAGCAGUGGGGAAUAUUGGGCAAUGGGGGAAACCCUGACCCAGCAACGCCGCGUGAAGGAAGAAGGCCUUCGGGUUGUAAACUUCUUUUACCAGGGACGAACAAAUGACGGUACCUGGAGAAAAAGCAACGGCUAACUACGUG